CAUAUGGAGAUAGCUGAAACGGGCUGGCAUGUGAGACAUAUGUGGAAGGCAUGUUUAGCCGAACUAAUGGCCUAACUCUAGGUGCCUGUUUCCUUCAGCUAGGCUGACUUGUCAGCCCUGUUGGUAACUGUUGGCUAGAAGUUGAUAGGAAUGGUGGCGGUGGUGGAAAAGCCCAUAGAAGUUGCCCUACUUGAUGAUGGCUAUGGGGAUGACGAUGGAAGCAGAUGAUCUAGGGGGUGCUACCAUUCUUUAUAAGGGUUGCUCCCCUGAAUAAUGACUUUUGGGGACCACGAUAGAAGCAGGUGAUCUAGGUGGUGCUCCCAUUCCUAGGGAUCUUGGUCUUACCUGCCUGCCAAUGAUAGUUGAAUAUUGGUUGUUGGUGAUGAUGAAGAUGGCUGAUCAUUCUUUGUAAGGGCUGCUACCCUGAAUAAUGGCUUUUGGGGACCAUGCUGGAAGCAGGGUUGGUGGUCUGGGAGCCACAGUUGUUCCUGGGGCUCUUUGCCUUCUCUGCCUAUCAAUGACAGCUGCAAUACCAAGGCUGAAGGAAAAAAAAAUAAAGUCUGACUUAGAAAUA